ensembl:lncRNA
AUCAAUCCUUUAACGGAUAGGUUCCUGGACGAGCCCCCAUUUACGUUACAACCCGGCUCGGAAGGGGAAAGGGAAGCAACAUAAACCAGAUGGUUUUUGGCAAGUUAAGGUUAUUUAUUUGCACAGAGUUUAACCAAGGAUUUCCAACUAUCAAAAACGGGCAAAUACUUUGGUCGUAAUAGCAGUCAACCAGGAUGCAGAACAAUCCCACACAAUCAAUGCAGCUGAACCAACCCAAGCCCUUACAAACCAUCAAAACCUGUUACAGAGUCCCGGGGAUGACCUGACAUUAUCCCAGCUAUUCUCGGAAACCUUUCAUACACCUGCCACAUCCAGAAGCAACACGGAGGACAUGGUCUCCCUUCAGCGUCAGCUUUUGGAGGAAGUUAAAAUGCUGAGGCAUACUCCGGAGCAACUCCUGCAGGUGGAGAGGGAAAAGCUGCUCGUCGAGAGGGAGAAGCUUCGCCUUGCCCAAGCCAAGUUUGAUUUUAAAAAAAAUGAAUGUUGAACCUAGAAUAAAAUAGCAAUCACUCAG